rnacentral:rRNA from 1 species
GAUGAACGCUGGCGGCGUGCCUAAUACAUGCAAGUCGAGCGAACAGACGAGGAGCUUGCUCCUCUGACGUUAGCGGCGGACGGGUGAGUAACACGUGGAUAACCUACCUAUAAGACUGGGAUAACUUCGGGAAACCGGAGCUAAUACCGGAUAAUAUAUUGAACCGCAUGGUUCAAUAGUGAAAUACGGUUUUGCUGUCACUUAUAGAUGUAUCCGCGCCGCAUUAGCUAGUUGGUAAGGUAACGGCUUACCAAGGCAACGAUGCGUAGCCGACCUGAGAGGGUGAUCGGCCACACUGGAACUGAGACACGGUCCAGACGCCUACGGGAGGCAGCAGUAGGGAAUCUUCCGCAAUGGGCGAAAGCCUGACGGAGCAACGCCGCGUGAGUGAUGAAGGUCUUCGGAUCGUAAAACUCUGUUAUUAGGGAAGAACAAAUGUGUAAGUAACUAUGCACGUCUUGACGGUACCUAAUCAGAAAGCCACGGCUAACUACGUG